rnacentral:ncRNA from 2 species
AAAAUUGGCCGUCAUGGUCAGGGCCAACUGUUGCCUGAAGAAAGGUAA